rnacentral:rRNA from 1 species
UACGUAGGCAGCGAGCGUUGUUCGGAUUCACUGGGCGUAAAGGGUGCGUAGGUGGUGGGGUAAGUUUGAUGUGAAAGCUCCGGGCUUAACCCGGAAAUGGCAUUGAAUACUAUCUCGCUUGAGGGUUGGAGGGGAGACUGGAAUUCUUGGUGUAGCAGUGAAAUGCGUAGAUAUCAAGAGGAACACCAGUGGCGAAGGCGAGUCUCUGGACAACUCCUGACACUGAGGCACGAAAGCUAGGGGAGCAAACAGG